UGAGUCGCAUGAUUUGGGUAUGAAAGCUAUAUGCGCUGUGAGAGAACUUUGCGUCCCAUUAGUUANUUGGUUGAGGUAACGGCUCACCAAGACGAUGGAUGGGUACCGGCCUGAGAGGGUGAACGGCCACAAGGGGACUGAGACACGGCCCUUACUCCUACGGGAGGCACAUNGGGGAAUAUUGGACAAUGGACCAAAAGUCUGAUCCAGCAAUUCUGUGUGCACGAUGAAGUUUUUCGGAAUGUAAAGUGCUUUCAGUUGGGAAGAAGUCAGUGACGGUACCAACAGAAGAAGCGACGGCUAAAUACGUGCCAGCAGCCGCGGUAAUACGUAUGUCGCAAGCGUUAUCCGGAUUUAUUGGGCGUAAAGCGCGUCUAGGCGGUUUAGUAAGUCUGACGUGAAAAUGCGGGGCUCAACCCCGUAUUGCGUUGGAAACUGCUAAACUAGAGUACUGGAGAGGUAGGCGGAACUACAAGUGUAGAGGUGAAAUUCGUAGAUAUUUGUAGGAAUGCCGAUGGGGAAGCCAGCCUACUGGACAGAUACUGACGCUAAAGCGCGAAAGCGUGGGUAGCAAACAGGAUUAGAUACCCUGGUAGUCCACGCCGUAAACGAUGAUUACUAGGUGUUGGGGGUCGAACCUCAGCGCCCAAGCUAACGCGAUAAGUAAUCCGCCUGGGGAGUACGUACGCAAGUAUG
rnacentral:rRNA from 1 species